AACGUAGGUCACAAGCGUUGUCCGGAAUUACUGGGUGUAAAGGGAGCGCAGGCGGGAAGACAAGUUGGAAGUGAAAUCCAUGGGCUCAACCCAUGAACUGCUUUCAAAACUGUUUUUCUUGAGUAGUGCAGAGGUAGGCGGAAUUCCCGGUGUAGCGGUGGAAUGCGUAGAUAUCGGGGGGAACACCAGUGGCGAAGGCGGCCUACUGGGCACCAACUGACGCUGAGGCUCGAAAGUGUGGGUAGCAAACAGG
rnacentral:rRNA from 1 species